UCGCGAUUAUUACUUAAAUAGAUAUAUGUAUCAAGUUUGGAUAUCAGAUAUUUCAUCGAAAAUCAAAAUUUCAUACAGUUUUUAUCAGUUAAAGAAUUUAAGUGAUAUCAUUCUUUCGUUAGAUCUAAGCAAGUCAAUUGAUUUAAGAUGCUUGUAAACUUUUGUAUAGAUUAUCUUUAACAAUGUAUAAAAAGUAAAAAGUCACUAGUAAUAAAUAGGGUAUCUAGUAACUUAA